UGAUGUAGUGAUGAUUUUUUAAGCAAUCCCAGGUCAUUACGAGACCUUUUUUUGUGGAAGGUCGGGGAAUUUAAUCAUGUCCAUUUUAUAUCUGAGCAUCC